rnacentral:rRNA from 1 species
GACGAACGCUGGCGGCGUGCUUAACACAUGCAAGUCGAACGGACAGACCCGGCUUUUGUGGCGUGCUCGAGUGGCGCACGGGUGAGUAACACGUGAGUAACCUGCCCUUGACUUUGGGAUAACUUCUGGAAACUGGGGCUAUUACCGGAUAGGAGCUCCUGCUGCAUGUUGGUGAUUGGAGAGUUUCGGCUGUUGGGGCUGGUCUCGCGGGUUAUCAGCUUGUUGGUCGGGUAGUGGCUGACGAAGGCUUUGACGGGUAGCCGGCCUGAGAGGGUGACCGGGCACAUGAGGACUGAGAGACGGACCAGAAGGCAACGUGAGGCAGCAGUGGGGAGCAUGACACAACAGGCGGAAGUGUGAGAUGGCAGUGUCGGGAGCGUGAUGCUGGGUUUUGGGUGAUAAACAGAUGUCGAAGGAGAUGAAGAGGGCGUGACGGUACUGGGUAAAGAAGCACCGGCUAACUACGUG